rnacentral:rRNA from 1 species
GGAAUAUUGGACAAUGGGCGCAAGCCUGAUCCAGCCAUACCGCGUGGGUGAAGAAGGCCUUCGGGUUGUAAAGCCCUUUUGUUGGGAAAGAAAUCCUGCCGGCUAAUACCCGGUAGGGAUGACGGUACCCAACGAAUAAGCACCGGCUCACUUCGUCCCGGCAGCCGCGGUAAUACGAAGGGUGCAAGCGUUACUCGGAAUUACUGGGCGUAAAGCGUGCGUAGGUGGUUUGUUAAGUCUGAUGUGAAAGCCCUGGGCUCAACCUGGGAAUGGCAUUGGAUACUGGCAGGCUAGAGUGCGGUAGAGGAUGGCGGAAUUCCCGGUGUAGCAGUGAAAUGCGUAGAGAUCGGGAGGAACAUCUGUGGCGAAGGCGGCCAUCUGGACCAGCACUGACACUGAGGCACGAAAGCGUGGGGAGCAA